rnacentral:pre_miRNA from 1 species
AUAAUACUCCCUCCGUCCCAAAAUUCUUGCCUUAGAUUUGUCUACAUACAGAUGUAUCAAGUCACGUUUUAGUAUUAGAUUCAUCCGUAUCUACACAAAUCUAAGACAAGAAUUUUGGGACGGAGGGAGUACUAC